rnacentral:tRNA from 1 species
GGGAACGUAGCUCAGUGGUAGAGUACUUGCCUUGCAUGCAUGAGGCCCUGGGUUUGAUUCCUCAGCACCA